rnacentral:lncRNA from 1 species
GGUAUACUUUAGUACAUGAAUUUUAUCAGAAGAAUGAUAUCCAUUGAAAUCCUAUCACCGUGUACACAAGGAUCUACUCUGUGGCCUUUAUUUCUCAUGAGAUGAAGAAGAGAAAGACACACUCCCCGUCAGCUCUUUAAAUAGGUGUGGUUAAUACUAAGAAAUAAUGCACAAAAGAAUGGGAAAAUCCUCCACCAGUAAAGGAGAACACCAUUGCUCCUGGAAAGGCAAGGUUUCAACCUGCACUGGUGCUCUGUAUCUUUUGUGUGGCUUCUGAAGGAAGUGGGCAUAGAGAUGGAUGGAUUCAUGCAUAAGCAUUAUCACUGAGUUGUGUCACGGAAAUACAUUAGUACAUGAAUUUUAUCAGAAGAAAGAUAUCCAUUGAAAUCCUAUCACCGUGUAGUAAGACAUCUACCAAAUGGCCUUCAUUUCUCUUCACACUCCCGCUGACUGUUGAAGACUUGUGGUUUAUGCAAUGAAAUAAUGCUGAAAAGAAGGGAAAAAUCCUCCACCAGGAACAGAGAACACCAUUGCUCCUGGAAAGGUGAAGUGUCAAUCUGCACGGGUGCUCUGUAUCUUCUGUGUGGCUUAUGAAACAGGUGGGCAGAGUGAUGGAUGGACUCAUGCAUCAGCAUUAUCCCUGAGGGAUCUACCAUGUGGCCAUUAUUUCUCAUCAGAGAAAGAAGUGAAAGACCCACUCCCUGAUAGCUCUUUAAAGAGUUGUGGUUCAUGCAAUGAAAUAAUGCUGAAAAGAAGGGGAAAAUCCUCCAUGAGGAACAUAGAACACCAUUGUUUCAGGAAAGGUGAAGUGUCAAUCUGCACAAGUGCUGUAUCUUCUGUGUGGCUUAUGAAACAGGUGGGCAGAGAGAUGGAUGGACUCAUGCAUAAGCAUUAUCACCGAGGUGAGUCACGGUGAGUGAAACUAGAGAGGCGGUAAGUAUGGACAGGUUUUCAUACAAAAUUAGUGACCAUGUGCAUGUCAAUUGUUUCCAUUUCAAAAAAGAAAUUCCUGUUGCCUGUGGUGCGAAAGAAUUGUGGAGAGGCUUGCUCUGCCAUUUACCUGGUUGAUUUUUGAGAAGAUUCAUGAAAGAAUAGCCAAUAGUUUUACAUUCUUGAUGUUUUUCUUUUCACUGGCAAUAGACCAACAUAGGCCAAAUGUCGAAAAUCCUUUUGAAUACAAAAGUCCUACUUGCCAGCACUGAGUAGCACUGGUACCAUUUUUAGUCGCAUUUCCUAGAUAGAGAUGUUGUUUGGCCUGUUGAAGGAAAUACAUAUGUCAUAAGUUUUAGGUGGUCUAAGAAGAGGUUUAGUAUAUGGUUUCUUUUUUUUUUAUAUGAUGAUAUUUAUUUUAGUGAAGGCUAAAUAUUUAUUUAUAUAUAUUUUUUUAUUUUCCCACUGUACAGCAAGGGGGUCAGGUUAUCCUUACAUGUAUAUAUUACAAUUACAUAUUUUCCCCACCCUUUCUUCUGUUCCAACAUGAGUAUCUAGAUAAAGUUAUCAAUGCUAUUCAGAAGGAUCCCCUUGUA